UGGGGAAUAUUGCGCAAUGGGGGAAACCCUGACGCAGCGACGCCACGUGGGGGAUGAAGGCCUUCGGGUCGUAAACCUCUGUCAGAAGGGAAGAAACGCGCCAUUUCAAAUAGGCUUGGCGUUUGACGGUACCUUCAGAGGAAGCACCGGCUAACUCCGUGCCAGCAGCCGCGGUAAUACGGAGGGUGCGAGCGUUAAUCGGAAUCACUGGGCGUAAAGCGUACGUAGGCGGCGUGUCAAGUCAGGUGUGAAAGCCCUCGGCUCAACCGGGGAAUUGCACUUGAAACUGAUAUGCUAGAGUUCAGGAGGGGGUAGCGGAAUUCCCGGUGUAGGAGUGAAAUCCGUAGAUAUAGGGAGGAACACCAGUGGCGAAGGCGGCUACCUGGACAGUAACUGACGCUGAGGUACGAAAGUGUGGGGAGCAAACAGGAUUAGAUACCCUGGUAGUCCACACCGUAAACGAUGGAUGCUAGGUGUCGGGUGGCAACAUUCGGUGCCGAAGUCAACGCAUUAAGCAUCCCGCCUGGGGAGUACGGUCGCAAGGCUGA
rnacentral:rRNA from 1 species